GCGUGUUCAAUCCCAGAGUCGCGAGUUCAAUCCCAGAGUCGCGUGUUCAAUCCCUGGGUCGCGUGUUCAAUCCCAGAGUCGCGUGUUCAAUCCCGGAGUCGCGUGUUCAAUCCCGGAGUCGCGUGUUGAAUCCCUGGGUCGCGUGUUGAAUCCCUGGGUCGCGUGUUCAAUCCCAGAGGCGCGUGUUCAAUCCCAGAGUCGCGUGUUCAAUCCCGGAGUCACGUGUUCAAUCCCGGAGUCGCGUGUUCAAUCCCAGAGUCGCGUGUUCAAUCCCAGAGUCGCGAGUUCAAUCCCAGAGUCGCGUGUUCAAUCCCAGAGUCACGUGUUCAAUCCCUGGGUCGCGAGUUCAAUCCCUGGGUCGCGUGUUCAAUCCCGGAGUCGCGUGUUCAAUCCCGGAGUCACGUGUUCAAUCCCGGAGUCGCGUGUUCAAUCCCGGAGUCGCGUGUUCAAUCCCGGGGUCGCUUGUUGAAUCCCUGGGUCGCGUGUUGAAUCCCAGAGUCGCGUGUUCAAUCCCAGAGUCGCGUGUUCAAUCCCGGAGUCGCGUGUUCAAUCCCGGGGUCGCGUGUUCAAUCCCGGGGUCGCGUGUUCUAUCCUAGAGUUGCGUAUUCAAUUGUUUAAUCCCAAACCUUAACCAUUCUGAAUUAAUGCCUAAAAUGAACCUUCAAAAUGUGACCUUUUUUGGACAAAUGUCAUAUUCUGCACUGUAAGAGCUUGUUGCCCUUGUAUGGCCUUAAUUGCUAAUCAGACCACAUUCUGAGACAAGGAGACACACAACAACAGUCAGGUCAUGAAUAUUCAUGUAUUUAUUAAUGCCCUGUCAUCUGGUCCAGAGGAGCGUUUUAAUGUGUCUGUCUGUGUUCCAUAUUACUGUAGUUCUUCUAUUCAUGACAGCUUCUGUCUGUGUGUGUGUGUGUGUGUGUGUGUGUGUGUGUGUGUGUGUGUGUUGUGCGUUACUCUACUCCCCUCCUCCUAUACCUCUCUAUGACAGCUCCUGUGUGUGUGUGUGUGUUGUGCGUUACUGUAC
ensembl:lncRNA